AACGCACGAGACCUGCGGACCUGCGGAAGGAUCAUUACUGAAUUGAUUUUGGGGAUGUUGCUGGUCUCUUGAGGCAAUGGUGCACUCCCUCAAACAUUUCACAAUUUCCAUCUUACCCAUGUGCACAUCCUGUAGGUGGUCUCCCAACCCACCCUCCAAGGAAAGGGGGGGAGUGUGUGGGUCUGGUCUCCUAUGUAUUUCCUUGCCAACAUCACACGUUUUGUCUGAAUGAAUCCUGUG
rnacentral:misc_RNA from 1 species